rnacentral:rRNA from 1 species
CCUACGGGAGGCAGCAGUGGGGAAUAUUGGACAAUGGGGGGAACCCUGAUCCAGCGACGCCGCGUGAGUGAAGAAGUAUUUCGGUAUGUAAAGCUCUAUCAGCAGGGAAGUAAGAAAUGACGGUACCUGACUAAGAAGCCCCGGCUAACUACGUGCCAGCAGCCGCGGUAAUACGUAGGGGGCAAGCGUUAUCCGGAUUUACUGGGUGUAAAGGGAGCGUAGACGGCGAUGCAAGUCUGAAGUGAAAGGCGGGGGCCCAACCCCCGGACUGCUUUGGAAACUGUAUGGCUGGAGUGCAGGGGAGGUAAGUGGAAUUCCUAGUGUAGCGGGGAAAUGCGUAGAUAUUAGGAGGAACCCCAGUGGCGAAGGCGGCUUACUGGACUGUAACUGACGUUGAGGCUCGAAAGCGUGGGGAGCAAACAGGAUUAGAUACCCGGGUAGUC